GACGAACGCUGGCGGCGUGCUUAACACAUGCAAGUCGAACGGAAAGGCCCUGCUUUUGUGGGGUGCUCGAGUGGCGAACGGGUGAGUAACACGUGAGUAACCUGCCCUUGACUUUGGGAUAACUUCAGGAAACUGGGGCUAAUACCGGAUAGGAGCUCCUGCUGCAUGGUGGGGGUUGGAAAGUUUCGGCGGUUGGGGAUGGACUCGCGGCUUAUCAGCUUGUUGGUGGGGUAGUGGCUUACCAAGGCUUUGACGGGUAGCCGGCCUGAGAGGGUGACCGGCCAAAUGGGGAUGGAGAUACGGCCCAGACUCUUACGGGAGGCAGCAGUGGGGAAUAUGGAAAAAGGGGCGGAAGCCGGAGGAAGCAACGCGGGGGGCGGGAGGACGGCCUUCGGGUUGAAAACCGCUUUCGCCGGUGACGAGGCGUGAGGGACGGUAAGGGGAAAAGAAGCACCGGCAAAUUACGU
rnacentral:rRNA from 1 species